rnacentral:rRNA from 1 species
CCUACGGGGGCUGCAGUGGGGAAUAUUGGACAAUGGGCGAAAGCCUGAUCCAGCCAUGCCGCGUGUGUGAAGAAGGCCUUCGGGUUGUAAAGCACUUUCAGUGGGGAAGAAAGCCUUGGGGCUAAUACCCUCGAGGAAGGACAUCACCCACAGAAGAAGCACCGGCUAACUCCGUGCCAGCAGCCGCGGUAAUACGGAGGGUGCGAGCGUUAAUCGGAAUUACUGGGCGUAAAGCGCGCGUAGGCGGUCUGAUAAGCCGGUUGUGAAAGCCCCGGGCUCAGCCUGGGAACGGCAUCCGGAACUGUCAGGCUAGAGUGCAGGAGAGGAAGGUAGAAUUCCCGGUGUAGCGGUGAAAUGCGUAGAGAUCGGGAGGAAUACCAGUGGCGAAGGCGGCCUUCUGGACUGACACUGACGCUGAGGUGCGAAAGCGUGGGUAGCAAACAGGAUUAGAUACCCCGGUAGUC